CCUUUGCCGUUAAUGCUGUAAGUCAAUGAAACGACCCGCCCCGAAUCCCCCCCAGGCGAGUCUAUCUAGUCUCAUCAAAACAGACUUGAUAAAAAUUCUAUUAGUAAAGAUUCUACCGAAAAUUCGGCAGAGUCUCCUUUAUAUAUAUAUCACUCCCAAUCUACAAAUAUGAAUAUAUGAAUAUAACACUCCCAAUACAAUUCAAUAUACUACAAACUCCAGUGAUCAACAUACUCAACCAAAAUGCUGAGUUUUAUAUCUCCAGAGUCUCAAAAGAUAAUAUUAUAACUAAUAUUAAUAUCUCAAUUUAUUCUUAAUCCCAAAAGAAUAAUAUAACAAAAUUAUACAAUCCCAACAGGACGAGAUAACCAAGAUAUCCUAACAAAAAUAUUUAUAUCUUCUAAAACCAUCACGUGGCCAAGACUCAAAAUAUAUUUAUAGUUGCUGGGUCAGUCUGGUGUACCUGCAACCUCCUGGUGAGGGGGAGAAAUAUAAUAAAAACAGGGUGAGUUUAAAACUCAGUGAGAUCAGUGAGUGAAUAGUAGUUUUGAAAAUUAAUUCUUACUUUAAAAGAAAUAAUCAUAUCAUUUCCAAACACGAUUUCAUUAAACCAUAAGCGAGAAACCAGUAAUAAAUCAUUAAAAAUUUAAAUCAAAUUACUAACCAUGGAAAUCAUAUCACAAUAUCAUAUAGAAUUCACAAAUCUGAAAAUCAUCACCAAACAAGUACCCAGGGAAAUAAUCUCGUCAUAUUCGGACCUCAACGGACGGACAAUGACGUACUAUCUGGGUAACGUCACGCCCCGGAGCUACACGGAUAGACAGGAAAAUACCAUCUCAUAUCUCAUCAUAUAUGUGCAUGCAUAAUCUAGUCCCCAAGGGACAAAAGCGCCCAAGCACAUGGCCCAAAGCCUCUGUGUGUACUCAGACGGGCCCCAAAGGCCUGUAUUUCAUUUGUAUCAUUUGUAUCUCAAUAUAUGUCUGUAUCUCAUAUAUGUAUCUCUGUAAUCAUCAUACCGCAUGCAUAUGCCCCCAAAAGGCAAAAGCGCCCAAACACACGGUCCAAAGCCUCUAUGUAUGUUCAGACAGGCCCCAAAGGCCUCACAUCUCAUCUCAUCUGUAUCACUGUAUCUGGGGGGAAGGGUACUGUCUAAUGAUUUCAAAAACAAUCAUUAUACUCAUAUUCACAUACCUCUUAACCAUAUUUUAAAUCAUACCACACUUGAAUCCACUUUUCUUAUCUUUAAAAUACUAUCAUGCUUAUUCAAAGUCGAUACGCAAAAUCAUUAACAAAACAUUUUAAUAAAAUACCAAUGCGUGAAUAAAAUCCAAUUCGAGGAAAUCAUUAAAUCAAAACAUUUAAAACACUUAUUUCGCAAACAUGCUUUACUAUCAUAAUUAACUAUGAAAAUAGGUUUUGUAUAUUCCACUCACAGUGACGAUGUUCACAGUUGGUUAUCGUCCACGUCCGCGGAUCGGAUCUCGCUCACGAAUCCUCCUAAAUCAAGGAAACGACAUAAUUAUUUUCCGUAAAUCAGAAUUAUGACUAAAUUUUAUGCAAUACACUCGAAACGAACAUCUAUCCAUAAUUGACAACUCCCGUGUCCAUAAAAUUACUAAAAUGCCCUUGAGUCCGUAGAUCAUUAACAUGCUCUGAAAUCGUAAAUCACUGAAUUACCCUCGGAAUCGUAAUUACACCCAAUCUUCAAUUCUAGGAAUUACUAAAAUAUCCACAAGCUCAGAAAUUACAAAAUUGCCCUCAUAGUGUGAAAUUACCAAAAUGCCCUUGCCGGUCAAUGGUCACCGGAAUUUGGUCAACACUGGCUAGGAAGUUCAAAUCUUAAAGUUCCAAUCACGCUGAGUUCAAUGGUACCGGCGGUGAGCUCCAAUGCGCGGCAAUGACGCUGGAAUCUAACUCGGCAGCCGUGAAUUCCAACAAUCGACCAGCGGCAAAACAGUGACUCUCGGUGCCUAUGGAUGGUCGAAAAUGGAAGAGGGAGUCGUGGGGAACAAAAUCCAACCGGUGGUGUCACCCAAAACUGGCGAAAAUCCCAGCGGAGCAAAGUGAAACAGUCGCGGGUUUCAAGCUUCGAUCGUCGGUGUUCCGAUUGGUUUUCGGAGACGAGGAUGGCAAGGGAACGACGGCCGGCUUCCAAGCUUCAGAUUGGUACCAAGCUCGGCCGAAACGGUGGCCGGAAAUGGGAGAUAUGGCCGGGUCAAGGUCGCGGGUUCCAGGUCGGGUUUUCGGGUCUAUAGUUGGGUCGGUUUGGUAGCUUCUCUCUCACUCUCUGUUACACGUGCAUAUGUUUCCUCUAUUUCCAGUUUAUUCUUUUGCUUUUACUAACUUCUUAACCGCC
rnacentral:lncRNA from 1 species